rnacentral:rRNA from 1 species
CGCUCCUUGAUUUUAAUUAAUAAGGAGUCGGACCUGCCCAGUGAUAAGUAUUUAACGGCCGCGGUACUCUGACCGUGCAAAGGUAGCAUAAUCAUUUGCCCUAUAAUUGAGGGCUAGUAUGAAUGGUUUGACAAGAACAAUACUGUCUCUUUCAAAANUUUCUAGAAUUUAUUCUUUAGGUGAAGAAACCUAAAUAAAAUUAAAAGACAAGAAGACCCUAUCGAGCUUAAACUCUUUUUAUAAAAUAAAAAAAAUUAAUAAUAUUUUUUGUUAUAAAAAAUUUUGGUUGGGGCGACUAAGGAACAAAAAAAGCUUCUUUAUUUAAUAAAGACAAGUGUGUAUUGAUCCAUAAAANUCUUGAUUAAAAGAAUUAGUUACCGUAGGGAUAACAGCAUAAUCUUUUUUAAGAGUUCUUAUCGAAAAAAAGGUUUGUGACCUCGAUGUUGGACUAAAAUUUCCUAAUAGAUGCAGACGUCUUUAAGGG